UCGGUCUCUUCCCAAUUUCUUUCUCUCCACGAUCCUCAGCCCUAGGUUGCUGCUGUGCUUGUCCGUGUUGAGCUCUGCCUCCUCUAUCUUGAUGCCAUGGCUGCCCAACGCCUCUUCCCCUCUCCCCUAAAUCUCUAAUCCAAUCCCUUUCACCUCCACUCUGGUCCUUUCUCCUCUGCCAGUCUUCUCUAUGGAUGGAACAGGGAGGGGAAAAGGUGAGCAGUGCGCCAUGCAUGAGGAGACGUUCCUCCAUGUGAAGGAGCAAGUGGGGAAGCUGUAUACGAGAAUCUGCUUCCAUCCCCGUCCUCUCUGCCUGCAGCUGGCGGCCAACGGCCGGGCUGUCUCUGCCCCACCACCGCGACGCCUCAUCCUGUAUGGGGAGAGAAGCACAUCAGGUACGGAGCCAUUCACUAGGUGUUGAUUCAGCACAAGUUUGGCUCUAGCUAGGGCAUGUGUUUUCCCAUGUCCUUGGGUGCUAUUUUCCCUACUGAUUUGUCUUCUCCUCGCCCUAUCUCUUUUGAUCUUAUCCCUCUCACCUUUGUUUGUUCAGCUCUUUAUAAUUUGCGCCUAGAAGGUGUUCGGCGAAAAGGCAAUAUGGUUGCACAUAAGGAUUAAUCCAUGUAAUAUAUUCUACUCAAUAUUUUACAUUUUCUAGAAUUUAGCUACAUCCAACCAUGGCUUGCAUACAUAUUGUAUCACCCCUAUCAAUUAUGUGACUAGCAGUCCCCCGAUAGCCAAUGAUAGUUACGUGCCAAAAUAAACCUAUUCAAUGGACGAACUAGCAGAUUCUAUGUAUAUAUGCCUACAAGGUGUUUGACAAAAUUCCAAACAGGUUGUUCUCAUAUUGUGUUUCAUAUUCUUUCGAUUUUCUUGGUUGAGAGAUAAAGAAUUAAAACUGAGUUGUUUGGUUGACCAUCUUAAGUACUGGUUAGCAAAUAUAUGGACCUAUAUUAUGCCUUCGAUUUUAGUUGGAAUAAAGUUAUAUCACUCAAUUAAAUUAUUUCUUGUAUAUUGUCUAACACACUUUAACCUUACUCUAAUCAUUGAAUGGUUUCCUUUUUCAGUCUCGAGCUUUCUAAUGAUCUAUGCUACUAGAGAGGAGGAAAACAAAUAUUUCAAUUCAUAUUGGUUUCAUUCUCCUACUUAUUGCUUUUUAUUUUGCAUGUGUUAUACAAUCCACUAUCUAAAAUAAUGCCAGCCAGCAAGCAAUUGAUAUGUAUUCAGUUGACUUUGGCUGUGCUAACUUUAUCCAUAUUUGUACUUGCAGAUUGCAAGCAACCUUUCGGUGGUGUAUUUGCAACCUAUCGACUAUCCAGAUUUCCAUUGAACUUUCUUGGGGAUCUCUACCUAAUAAGCAAACAGCAGGUUAUUUUCACAAAGGUAUUGGGAGAGCGAGAUGCCCAGGAUUAAAGAAAAUAAAAAAUCAUAACAGGGUAUGUAUUUGCUGAGACGCUCUUCUUCUCACUAACUUGGGACUUUUACGAUGCCACCGUUGCUGUUGGGAAUGGUUCUCUCUUCAGUAUGACAAUAAACUCAUUUUUACUGAGAAAACAGUACGCUCAUUCAGCAGCAAAUAGCACAAUGGGAUGAUUUUUUUCCCAUGCUAAUUAGAAUGCCAAUGUUUUGCUUCCCACCUGCUUAUUUGUAUAUCAAAUGACUAACCUUUCUUGUGUCUUGAUAUAGCUGCAUGCAUACGUUCAGCCAGAUGCUCAUUGAAUGGUUAUCAUACUCUUGGUGAGAUUAUAGCUACUUUGUCAUGCAUCUUUUUUCCUCUUCUGGCAUUUUGGUCCCAUUUCCAUUUCCCUCCCUCUUACGAUCAGUGCAUAUUGUGCUAUUUCGUUCAGACUCUUUGAUACAGCUUCAGGUAAUAUUCAGUCUUUUAAUUUAGUAGCUUAAAAGAUUGUUGAGAAGUAGUCUGGAUGGUUUUAUCUAGCGAGCCAGCAAUUUAAUAUAAAAUUGGAGAUGUUAAGCUUGUACUUGCAUGAUAAAUACAGAAGCAUUUUCUACCAAUACUUCACAUGAAAAAUACAUGGGAGUAAAUGGGCCAACAAUGGGAAGCUUUGUCGCAAGAGUCCCUGCUGGCAUGGUUCUCUCACCUAAAAAGCUACUUUUACAGUACAUUUCUUUAGUUUAUUGAUCACAUUGAAAAUUUGUAUAAUUAUGGCCAAUUCUGUCUUUAUUUGCAUGCUUUGAACUGUGGUACUUCAUUAACACCAAAAUACUUUUCCAUUUACACAAAACAAUCUUUGCCUAGACUGUGGCCUCAAAUGAACAAAUCCUUGAUUCUCCUACCUCUACAUAAUAGUUGUCCUGAAUUGUCUUUUUAUCGAUUGUAUAGGC